rnacentral:rRNA from 1 species
GAUGAACGCUGGCGGCGUGCCUAAUACAUGCAAGUCGAGCGAACGGACGAGAAGCUUGCUUCUCUGAUGUUAGCGGCGGACGGGUGAGUAACACGUGGAUAACCUACCUAUAAGACUGGGAUAACUUCGGGAAACCGGAGCUAAUACCGGAUAAUAUUUUGAACCGCAUGGUUCAAAAGUGAAAGACGGUCUUGCUGUCACUUAUAGAUGGAUCCGCGCUGCAUUAGCUAGUUGGUAAGGUAGCGGCUUACCAAGGCAACGAUGCAUAGCCGACCUGAGAGGGUGAUCGGCCACACUGGAACUGAGACACGGUCCAGACUCCUACGGGAGGCAGCAGUAGGGAAUCUUCCGCAAUGGGCGAAAGCCUGACGGAGCAACGCCGCGUGAGUGAUGAAGGUCUUCGGAUCGUAAAACUCUGUUAUUAGGGAAGAACAUAUGUGUAAGUAACUGUGCACAUCUUGACGGUACCUAAUCAGAAGGCCACGGCUAACUACGUG